rnacentral:miRNA from 1 species
AUCUUGGAAGCUAAGCAGGGUUGGGCCUGGUUAGUACGUGGAUGGGAGAAAAGAUUAUAGACAGGAGAGCAAAGGCUGGCCACCCCGUGACUCAGUACCUUUUUGGUGUCUGUACGACUUGGUGUCACUCUGUCCUACUCUCCCUGUCUCCCUG